AGUCUUGAUAAAAGCAGGUGAUAAUUUGGAUCUGGUUCUUUUCUAGUUGAACAAUCCUUUAUAACACUGUGGUGAGGCUAUCAUGAGACGAUUCCUUAAUUCCAUCCAGUGCCAAAAUGCAGCUGGCCUGCAGUGGAACCCUGAUGCCCAGGCAGCAGCGCUGAGUGCCCGCACGUGCUUGACAGCACGAACACGCGCGCUUUGUGUCUCUCUUGGAUCUUAGAUACCAAGCCUUCUAAAGUGCUGCUGCAGAACCAGUUCAAACAACCCCACUCUCAGCAGAUUUUCCCUCUGGCCUUAUCCCUCCAGCAGAGCUUCUGUGAAGGCUGCUGGUUGCUUCAAGACACAAAGAGAGCUCCUGAUGAAGCAGCUAUCUCUGAGGAGGCAGAGGUGUAGAGUUUAUUCCUGCUCUCUUCCUGGUACUUCCUUGACUCACCUGCAAUGCUGACAUCAACAUCAAACUCUCUCUUCCAAAUUAUGAGGGUCUCCAUCGCAGACAAAAAAGGGAAAGGAGGGAAAAGGCAAGGAGAAUCUGUCAGAAGAAUUGAAGGGGAAGAUGGAGCCAGUCCUGUUUUGUUUUCAAACAGGCACUUGAAUGUCAAAGUGAUGGUGAGCACUUCUGCAAUAGUCUUGCCUCUGGACCACUCUGUGACACUGAGGGAGACCUGAGGAAACCUGCCCUGGGAGAAAAGACCAGAACAUUAAAUUUUCCUCAUCUCCUAACACAAUUCUCUAAUCACCAUUGAGCAAUUAUCCCUUUCCAUUUGCUCUAAAAGGAAAACAAGUGAUAAUGUAGAUUAACUUAAAUGGCUAAUAAUUAUUCAGAGAUGUAGAGUGGACAAGAGUUUCCCUAAAUUGAGCAGACUGGAUCCUGCUGUGAUAUAAACACUUUUCUUUGUGUCCAAGGCUUUAGUAUUUCUCCCUUGAAUUCAGCUUUGCUCAGUCUUCCAAAGGGGCUGCACAUAACAGCCCCCCUGGACUGGCAGCCUGGUACAUUUAAAAUAAACUUUGUUAUUGGUGGGUUGUUGUAACUGUCAUAGAAUUUUUUAAAGUUACAUUUAAAAGUUCCUACAGCCCACUAGAGAGGUGUUAAGUCAUUAAAAUAAUGUGUGGUGUGAUUGUUUAUUUAUUUAUAAAGGACAUUUUAAUGGUAGUUUAUGGACCAGCAAACUUCGCUGUUUCAAAAUAAAAGUACAUAACUGUUGAAUGUGCUUUCUAAAGCUGUUGCAUGGCAUCUGCUGUUCAGGCUGUCAAUACUUUAACAUUUUGAAAAGCAAGGUAAAUUAACUCUCCAGGGUUAAUGUACAUUGCACACAUACAUGGGCACCCCAAUUCACUCAUUCUGGAUGAGGCCAUGACUGUACAAACAGAGACAUUUCAGAGAAAUGUAUUCACUGGUUUAUCUUCAGCACAAAACACCAACUAAUAAGGAGCUAAUAUUUUGAUUUUUCACAUGAAGCACUGCAGUACAGUCCCACUCAUUCCAAGAUUGGUGCUGAGAGGAGUAAGCCAGCUCCUGCAGGAUGUACCUCCCUUGCUGUGUGUGGUUCAUGGUGCACCCCAGAAGCCUGCACAUUCUUGCUUUUCUUAGAAGGGAUGUUGAGUUAUCUUUUAUAAAGUGCACGCUGAGAUCACUUUUAAUGCAAUGGUGGAAGUUUCCAAAAAGACAUUUAAGCUGUAGAAAUCUGUGGGAGUAGCAAUGCUUAAGGACUAAACCUUUCUACUGUGCCGCUAAUAAAGCGCUUCACUUUCUACAUAACUUGUGCUGUUACCAAGAGCCAUUUUGCGUCACUGAAA